rnacentral:tRNA from 1 species
GUGCCGGCUCAGUGGUCUAGAGGUUAUGCGCUCGUGUGCAUAGGUCCUGGGUUCGAAUCACGUGAGGCGGGAUCG